AGGACGAACGCUGGCGGCGUGCUUAACACAUGCAAGUCGAGCGGAAAGGCCCUUCGGGGUACUCGAGCGGCGAACGGGUGAGUAACACGUGAGCAACCUGCCCUUAGCUUCGGGAUAGCUCCGGGAAACCGGAAUUAAUACCGGAUAUGACUAUGGCCGACAUCAGCCAUGGUGGAAAGUUUUUCGGCUAGGGAUGGACUCGCGGCCUAUCAGCUAGUUGGUGAGGUAACGGCUCACCAAGGCGACGACGGGUAGCCGGCCUGAGAGGGCGACCGGCCACACUGGGACUGAGACACGGCCCAGACUCCUACGGGAGGCAGCAGUGGGGAAUAUUGCGCAAUGGGCGAAAGCCUGACGCAGCGACGCCGCGUGGGGGAUGAAUGCCUUCGGGUUGUAACCCCUUUCAGCAGGGACGAGCGAAAGUGACGGUACCUGCAGAAGAAGCGCCGGCUAACUACGUGCCAGCAGCCGC
rnacentral:rRNA from 1 species